rnacentral:rRNA from 1 species
GAUGGUUCAUUCAAAUUUCUGCCCUAUCAACUUUCGAUGGUAGAGUAGUGGUCUACCAUGGUUUCAACGGGUAACGGGGAAUUAGGGUUCUAUUCCGGAGAGGGAGCCUGAGAAACGGCUACCACAUCCAAGGAAGGCAGCAGGCGCGCAAAUUACCCAAUCCCGACACGGGGAGGUAGUGACAAUAAAUACUGAUACAGGGCUCUUUUGGGUCUUGUAAUUGGAAUGAGUACAAUUUAAAUCCCUUAACGAGGAACCAAUUGGAGGGCAAGUCUGGUGCCAGCAGCCGCGGUAAUUCCAGCUCCAAUAGCGUAUAUUAAAGUUGUUGCAGUUAAAAAGCUCGUAGUUGAACCUUGGGCCUGGCUGGCCGGUCCGCCUCACCGCGUGCACUGGUCCGGCCGGGCCUUUCCUUCUGGGGAGCCGCAUGCCCUUCACUGGGUGUGUCGGGGAACCAGGACUUUUACUUUGAAAAAAUUAGAGUGUUCAAAGCAGGCCUAUGCUCGAAUACAUUAGCAUGGAAUAAUAGA